AUUGAACGCUGGCGGCAGGCCUAACACAUGCAAGUCGAGCGGAAACGAUCCUAGCUUGCUAGGAGGCGUCGAGCGGCGGACGGGUGAGUAACGCGUGAGAAUCUACCCAUGAGUGGGGGACAACCCGGAGAAACUCGGGCUAAUACCGCAUACGCCCUACGGGGUAAAGCAGGGGACCUUCGGGCCUUGCGCUGAUGGAUGAGCUCGCGUCGGAUUAGCUUGUUGGUGAGGUAAAGGCUCACCAAGGCGACGAUCCGUAGCUGGUCUGAGAGGAUGAUCAGCCACACCGGGACUGAGACACGGCCCGGACUCCUACGGGAGGCAGCAGUGGGGAAUCUUGGACAAUGGGGGCAACCCUGAUCCAGCCAUGCCGCGUGUGUGAAGAAGGCCUUCGGGUUGUAAAGCACUUUCAGCAGGGAGGAAGGCUUACCCCUAAUACGGGUGAGUACUUGACGUUACCUGCAGAAGAAGCACCGGCUAAUUUCGUG
rnacentral:rRNA from 1 species